AUGGAUUCCCCCUCCGGCAGGGUGCCGGAACGGGCUCCCGAGAGGUUUUUGGUGGCUACAGAGGCUUGCCGCGGCGGAACUCCCGAUCUAUCUUGUUAUUCGAUGUUUUUAGGGUACGUAGGCUUUUAUAGGCGAAAGAAGUCGGUCGGGGGAGCCUCUAGGGGCCCACAAGAGUGGAGGGCGCGCCCAAGGGGUGGGCGCGCCCCCCUAUCUUGUGGCUUCCUUGAUGCUUCUCCAGCUUGCACUCCAAGUUUCCUGGGUCACGUUCGUUCCAAAAAUCACGCUGCCGAAGGUUUCAUUCCGUUUGGACUCCGUUUGAUAUUCCUUUUCUUCGAAAUACUGAAACAUGCAAUAAAACAGCAAUAUGGGCUGGGCCUCCGGUUAAUAGGUUAG
rnacentral:rRNA from 1 species